UUAUCACUUCUGAUCUAUGAUAUCUGUGAGGCUUUGGUAUUAAAAUUUGUGGAUAAUGAGCGCAUUAAUGUUGUCAUUCAUCUAGAUGGACAAGCCAAAACAUGUGAAAGCAACUUGGGAUGCUGUUGCUCACUGUGUUUUUCUUGAUGUGUGCAUCGAGGAAGUGAAUGCAAAUAAUCGCCCUGUGCAAGUUUUGAAUGCAAUUGGUUACCGGAUGGCCCGGGUCUGUUCAUGAUACCCGUGUAUGGACUGAUGCUCGGCCUAGGUUCCACAAUUAUCCGCACCCUCCUCAUGGAAAAUACUAUCUUGUUGACUCUGGAUACCCAAAUAGAACUGGUUAUCUUGCUCCUUUCAAAGAGCAGCGGUACCAUGUUCCAGAUUUUCAAGGUGCGUCUCCGCAGAACAUGGAAGAGAAAUUCAACCAUCUUCAUUCGUCUCUACGAAAUGCCAUUGAAAGAGCAUUUGGUGUUCUAAAGUUGAAGUGGCGCAUUCUACUUUCUAUACCACAUUACCACGACCCUCUGACACAAACAAAGAUCAUCACUGCAUGCAUGUGUUUGCAUAACUUCAUCCGAGAUAGCAAGUUGUACGAUGACCAUUUUGACAGGAUGGAGAGAAGCUCAUAUAUCUAUGAGGAUAGCGCGUGUUUUCCUGGUGGACAUGCUUCUUCUUCAUCUGAUGGCGUAACGGGUGCUCUACGACAAAUUAUUGCUGAAAGUUUGGUUGCUUGAGUUGUUAUUGUUGUUGUUUCGGAUCCAUUAAGACAUUUGUUUUAUUUUGGCAUGUACCAAAUUAUACUAUGAUACCAUAUUUUUAUUGGCGUCUGACUUCUCAUAA